UACAGAGGGUGCGAGCGUUAAUCGGAAUUACUGGGCGUAAAGGGCUCGUAGGUGGCCAACUAAGUCAGACGUGAAAUCCCUCGGCUUAACCGGGGAACUGCGUCUGAUACUGGAUGGCUUGAGUUUGGGAGAGGGAUGCGGAAUUCCAGGUGUAGCGGUGAAAUGCGUAGAUAUCUGGAGGAACACCAAUGGCGAAGGCAGCUCGCUGGGACGGUACGUGACGCUGAGGCGCGAAAGCGUGGGGAGCAAACAGGGAUUAA
rnacentral:rRNA from 1 species